UACCGCAUAAGCGCACAGAAUCGCAUGAUUGGGUGUGAAAAACUCCGGUGGUAUGAGAUGGACCCGCGUCUGAUUAGCUAGUUGGUGGGGUAAAGGCCUACCAAGGCGGCGAUCAGUAGCCGACCUGAGAGGGUGAUCGGCCACAUUGGGACUGAGACACGGCCCAAACUCCUACGGGAGGCAGCAGUGGGGAAUAUUGCACAAUGGGGGAAACCCUGAUGCAGCAACGCCGCGUGAGUGAAGAAGUAUUUCGGUAUGUAAAGCUCUAUCAGCAGGGAAGAAGAUGACGGUACCUGAUUAAGAAGCCCCGGCUAACUACGUGCCAGCAGCCGCGGUAAUACAUAGGGGGCAAGCGUUAUCCGGAUUUACUGGGUGUAAAGGGAGCGUAGACGGCAUAGCAAGUCUGAAGUGAAAGCCCAAGGCUCAACCACGGGACUGCUUUGGAAACUGUUAAGCUAGAGUGCUGGAGAGGUAAGCGGAAUUCCUAGUGUAGCGGUGAAAUGCGUAGAUAUUAGGAAGAACACCAGUGGCGAAGGCGGCUUACUGGACAGUAACUGACGUUGAGGCUCGAAAGCGUGGGGAGCAAACAGGAUUAGAUACCCUGGUAGUCCACGCCGUAAACGAU
rnacentral:rRNA from 1 species